AUUGAACGCUGGCGGAAUGCUUUACACAUGCAAGUCGAACGGUAGAGGGGGCAACCCCUCGAGAGUGGCGAACGGGUGAGUAAUAUAUCGGAACGUGCCCAGUCGUGGGGGAUAACGUAGCGAAAGUUACGCUAAUACCGCAUACGAUCUAAGGAUGAAAGCGGGGGAUCGCAAGAACUCGCGCGAUUGGAGCGGCCGAUAUCAGAUUAGGUAGUUGGUGGGGUAAAGGCUCACCAAGCCAACGAUCUGUAGCUGGUCUGAGAGGACGACCAGCCACACUGGAACUGAGACACGGUCCAGACUCCUACGGGAGGCAGCAGUGGGGAAUUUUGGACAAUGGACGCAAGUCUGAUCCAGCCAUUCCGCGUGCAGGAUGAAGGCCCUCGGGUUGUAAACUGCUUUUGUACGGAACGAAAAGGUCUCUCUUAAUACGGGGGACUCAUGACGGCACCGUAAGAAUAAGCACCGGCUAACUACGUGCCAGCCGCCGCCGUAA
rnacentral:rRNA from 1 species